CAAAGGUUUGGUCCUAGCCUUAGGGUCAAUUAUUACUUAACAUACACAUGCAAGUAUCUGCACUCCUGUGAAAACGCCCUUAAACUUCCCCUAGAAAUAAGGAGCUGGUAUCAGGCACGAAAAUCUGCCCAAAACACCUAGCUACGCCACACCCACAAGGGACUUCAGCAGUGAUUAAUAUUGAACAUAAGCGUCAGCUUGACUCAGUUAAAGUAAAAAGAGCCGGCAAAUCUGGUGCCAGCCGCCGCGGUUACACCACGUGACUCAAAUUGACCCUUUUCGGCGUAAAGCGUGAUUAAAGUCAUUCACAAUUAGAGUUAAACCCUAACUAAGCUGUGACACGCUUGUGCGUGGGAAAACCAAAAACGAAAGUUACUCCAAUUUAUUCAACUUGAACUCACGACAGCUGGGAAACAAACUGGGAUUAGAUACCCCACUAUGCCCAGCCGUAAACUUUUAAUUACAACCAUUUCGCCCGGGAACUACGAGCUAAGCUUAAAACCCAAAGGACUUGACGGUACCCCACAUCCACCUAGAGGAGCCUGUCCUAUAAUCGAUAACCCCCGUUUAACCUCACCAUCUUUAGCCUAUCAGCCUGUAUACCUCCGUCGUCAGCUUACCACGUGAGCGAUAUAAGUGAGCUUAAUGCCCAUACGCCAACACGUCAGGUCAAGGUGCAGCAAAUAAGAUGGGAAGAGAUGGGCUACACUUUCUAACUUAGAACAUACGAAAGACUACUUAUGAAACCCCUAGUCAGAAGGCGGAUUUAGAAGUAAAAAGAGAUCAGUAAAACUCUUUUUAACCCGGCACUGGGGUGUGUACACACCGCCCGUCACCCUCUUCAAGGCCUACAAGUAGUUCUUAACUAAACCCAUUGCCACAUAGAAGAGGCAAGUCGUAACAUGGUAAGUAUACCGGAAGGUAUGCUUGGGACAA
rnacentral:ncRNA from 1 species